GUCGACGAUACCUUCGGGUAUAGUGGCGCACGGGUGAGUAACACGUGGGAAUAUACCUUUCAGUGGGGGAUAACAUCGGGAAACUAAUGCUAAUACCGCAUACGCCCUUAGGGGGAAAGAUUUAUCGCUGAAAGAUUAGCCCGCGUCCGAUUAGCUAGUUGGUGAGGUAAUGGCUCACCAAGGCGACGAUCGGUAGCUGGUCUGAGAGGAUGACCAGCCACACUGGGACUGAGACACGGCCCAGACUCCUACGGGAGGCAGCAGUGGGGAAUAUUGGACAAUGGGCGCAAGCCUGAUCCAGCCAUGCCGCGUGAGUGAUGAAGGCCUUAGGGUUGUAAAGCUCUUUCGACGGGGACGAUGAUGACGGUACCCGUAGAAGAAGCCCCGGCUAACUUCGUGCCAGCAGCCGCGGUAAUACGAAGGGGGCUAGCGUUGUUCGGAAUUACUGGGCGUAAAGCGCACGCAGGCGGUUCGAUUAG
rnacentral:rRNA from 1 species